rnacentral:rRNA from 1 species
AGACUGGGAUAACUCGUGGAAACAGGAGCUAAUACCGGAUAACCAGUGCGUUCGCAUGAACGCACUUUAAAAGGCGGCAUUUGCUGUCACUUAUAGAUGGGCCCGCGGCGCAUUAGCUAGUUGGUGAGGUAACGGCUCACCAAGGCAACGAUGCGUAGCCGACCUGAGAGGGUGAUCGGCCACACUGGGACUGAGACACGGCCCAGACUCCUACGGGAGGCAGCAGUAGGGAAUCUUCCGCAAUGGACGAAAGUCUGACGGAGCAACGCCGCGUGAACGAUGAAGGUUUUUGGAUCGUAAAGUUCUGUUGUUAGGGAAGAACACGUACCGUUCGAAUAGGGCGGUACCUUGACGGUACCUAACGAGAAAGCCCCGGCUAACUACGUGCCAGCAGCCGCGGUAAUACGUAGGGGGCAAGCGUUGUCCGGAAUUAUUGGGCGUAAAGCGCGCGCAGGCGGUCCUUUAAGUCUGAUGUGAAAUCUUGCGGCUCAACCGCAAGCGGUCAUUGGAAACUGGGGGACUUGAGUACAGAAGAGGA